rnacentral:rRNA from 1 species
ACCCGCUGAACUUAAGCAUAUCAAUAAGCGGAGGAAAAGAAACCAACAGGGAUUGCCUCAGUAACGGCGAGUGAAGCGGCAACAGCUCAAAUUUGAAAUCUGGCCUUUGGUCCGAGUUGUAAUUUGUAGAGGAUGUUUCGAGCAUGGUCCGGUCUAAGUUCCUUGGAACAGGACGUCAUAGAGGGUGAGAAUCCCGUAUGCGACUGGGUGCCUAAGCUCAUGUGAAGCUCCUUCAACGAGUCGAGUUGUUUGGGAAUGCAGCUCAAAAUGGGUGGUAAAUUUCAUCUAAAGCUAAAUAUUGGCCAGAGACCGAUAGCGCACAAGUAGAGUGAUCGAAAGAUGAAAAGCACUUUGGAAAGAGAGUUAAACAGUACGUGAAAUUGUUGAAAGGGAAGCGCUUGCAACCAGACUUGCAUGCAGUUAAUCAUCCGGCGUUUUCACCGGUGCACUUGAUUGUAUUCAGGCCAGCAUCGGUUUCAGUGGUUGGAAAAAGACCUUGGGAAUGUAGCUUCUUUCGGGGAGUGUUAUAGCCCUCGGUGUAAUGCAGCCUACUGGGACCGAGGACCGCGCUUCGGCUAGGAUGCUGGCGUAAUGGUUGUAAGCGACCCGUCUUGAAACACGG